UCUUACAGAUAAGCAAAGAAAGUGGUUUCUUGAGGUGGAAUCUACUCCUGGUGAAUAUGUUGUGAA
rnacentral:pre_miRNA from 1 species